rnacentral:rRNA from 1 species
AGUCACUGACAUUAGAUACCCGGGUAGUCCUAGCCGUAAACGAUACUCGCUAGGUGUCGGCCACGGUGCGACCGUUGUCGGUGCCGUAGGGAAGCCGUGAAGCGAGCCACCUGGGAAGUACGGCCGCAAGGCUGAAACUUAAAGGAAUUGGCGGGGGAGCACAACAACGGGUGGAGCUUGCGGUUUAAUUGGAUUCAACGCCGGAAAUCUUACCGGGACCGACAGCAACAUGAAGGCCAAGCCGAAGACUUUGCCGGAUUAGCUG